CAAUAGCGUAUAUUAAAGUUGUUGCAGUUAAAAAGCUCGUAGUUGGAUUUCUGGUGGGAGCGAUCGGUCUGGCGCUUAGCGCAAGUACUUGCAUCGUCUCCGGCCAUCCUUGGGGAGAGUCUGUCUGGCAUUAGGUUGUCGGGCAGAGGAUCCUCAUCGUUUACUGUGAAAAAAUUAGAGUGUUCAAAGCAGGCUUAUGCCGUUGAAUAUAUUAGCAUGGAAUAACAAGAUAGGACUUUGGUACUAUUUUGUUGGUUUGCGCACCAAAGUAAUGAUUAAUAGGGACAGUUGGGGGUAUUCGUAUGCCGUUGUCAGAGGUGAAAUUCUUGGAUUUACGGAAGACGAACUACUGCGAAAGCAUUUACCAAGGAUGUUUNCAUUAA
rnacentral:rRNA from 1 species